rnacentral:rRNA from 1 species
AUGGCCCAUCCCCACCACCAACGGGGAACAGAUGCCACGACACCGACCUCCUCCGCUCUAUCUAUAUCCCACGCCCACAUCCCCAGAUCAACACACGACUCCAACCAAACCGGCACCGACGACACACGCAGAGCAACAGAGAUGGAGGAGGCCAACGGCGGCGUGCUCUGCCGCGGCGGCACGGCCGAGGCGGGGGCGGGGGCGGAGGCUGGCCGCGCGCCGCACGUGGCGAUGCUGGUGACGCCGGGGAUGGGCCACCUGAUCCCGCUGGCGGAGCUGGCCAAGCGUCUCGCGGCGCGGCACGGCGCCACGGCCACGCUCAUCACCUUCGCCUCCACCGCCUCCGCCACGCAGCGGGCCUUCCUCGCCUCCCUCCCGCCGGCCAUCGCCUCUCUGUCUCUCCCUCCCGUCGACCUCUCCGACCUGCCGCCCGACGCCGCCAUCGAGACGCUCAUGUCCGAGGAGUGCGCCCGCGUGGUGCCCGCGCUCACGGGGGUCCUCUCAGGGCUGAAGGAGACGACAAGGCUGGUCGCGUUCGUCGCCGACCUCUUCGGGGCCGACUCCUUCGACGCCGCGGCGGCCGCCGGCGUGGCGAGGAGGUACCUGUUUUUCCCGACGAAUCUUCACGUCCUCACGCUCAUCCUCCACCUUCCGGAGCUCGACGUCUCCAUGCCCGGCGAGUUCCGGGACCUCGCCGAGCCCGUCAGGCUGCCCGGCUGCGUGCCCAUACCGGGGCCGGACAUCCUCUCGCCGCUCCAGGACAAGUCCAACCCCUGCUACCGCUGGAUGGUGCACCACGCCAGGCGCUACCGCGACGCCGAGGCCAUCCUCGUCAACUCCUUCGACGCCGUCGAGCCUGACGUCGCCCGGGUCCUCCGUGCCCCACAGCCCGGCCGCCCUCCGGUGUACAACAUCGGCCCGCUCAUAAAGACCGACGCCGUCGAGACUGACAACGAGCCGCGUGCACCGUGCCUUUGGCUGGACCGGCAGCCGCCCAGGUCGGUCAUCUUCGUCUCCUUCGGCUCCGGCGGCUCGCUUCCGGCGGAGCAGAUGCGGGAGCUCGCGCUGGGGCUGGAGCAGAGCGGACAACGCUUCCUGUGGGUGGUGCGGAGCCCGAGCGACGAGGGCGCGGUGAACGCCAACUACUACGACGCGGAGAGCAAGAAGGACCCCCUACCCUACCUCCCAGAGGGGUUCGUCGAGAGGACCAAGGAGGUGGGCCUCCUCGUGCCGUCAUGGGCCCCGCAGAUAAAGGUGCUGGCCCACGAGGCCACGGGAGGCUUCCUGGUGCACUGCGGGUGGAACUCGGUGCUGGAGAGCCUGGUGCACGGCGUGCCGAUGGUCGCCUGGCCCCUCUUCGCGGAGCAGCGGCAGAACGCCGUGAUGCUGAGCGAGGGGGUCGGCGCCGCGAUACGGGUGCCGGACACGAAGAGGAGGGAGGAGAUCGCCGCGGCGGUGAGGGAGGUGAUGGCAGGGCAGGGCAAGGGCGCCGAGGUGCGGGCCAAGGUGGCGGAGCUGCAGAAGGCGGCGGCGGAGGGCCUCCGCGAGGGGGGCGCCGCCACGACGGCGCUGGAUGAGGUGGUGCAUAAAUGGAUCGGCGGCGGGGACAAGGAUGAUGACGUGGGCAGGAAAUAA